rnacentral:rRNA from 1 species
UUUAUGGAGAGUUUGAUCCUGGCUCAGGACGAACGCUGGCGGCGUGCCUAAUACAUGCAAGUCGAGCGGAUGAACCU